rnacentral:rRNA from 1 species
AAUGAACGCUGGCGGCAGGCCUAACACAUGCAAGUCGAACGAGUGGCGCACGUGUGUGUAAUGUCUGGGACACUGCCUGAUGGCUGGGUAUAACUACGGGAAACGGUAGCUAAUACCGCAUACCAGCAAAUUUGCCCAGAUGGGAUUAGCUAGUUGGUGGGGUAACGGCUCACCAAGGCGACGAUCCCUAGCUGGUCUGAGAGGAGGACCCGCCACACUGGAACUGAGACACGGUCCAGACUCCUACGGGAGGCAGCAGUGGGGAAUAUUGCACAAUGGGCGCAAGCCUGAUGCAGCAAUGCCGCGUGUAUGAAGAAGGCCUUCGGGUUGUAAAGUACUUUCAGCGGGGAGGCGUUACCCGCAGAAGAAGCACCGGCUAACUCCGUGCCAGCAGCCGCGGUAAUAC